UAAUUAAUAGCUUAAAUUAAAAUAGAGCAACACUUUGAAGUUGUGAGGGUAUAAGAUUUUAUUUAAUUAA
rnacentral:tRNA from 1 species